rfam:Gossypium raimondii chromosome 13, whole genome shotgun sequence.
AAUCCAUGGUGUGGGCAUUUUUGAAUCAACAUCUUGAAACAUUCCCACGCCUCAUAAAAACUUUCUCCUUCCAUCUGUCUGAAGUUAGUGAUCUCUCUUCUUAGUUG